rnacentral:rRNA from 1 species
ACCUACCUUAUACAGGGGAAUAGCCCGAAGAAAUUCGGAUUAAUGCUCCAUGGUUUAUCGAUAUGGCAUCGUAUUGAUAAUAAAGAUUUAUCGGUAUAAGAUGGGCAUGCGUAUCAUUAGCUAGUUGGUGUGGUAACGGCAUACCAAGGCAACGAUGAUUAGGGGUCCUGAGAGGGAGAUCCCCCACACUGGUACUGAGACACGGACCAGACUCCUACGGGAGGCAGCAGUGAGGAAUAUUGGUCAAUGGAGGCAACUCUGAACCAGCCAUGCCGCGUGCAGGAUGACGGUCCUAUGGAUUGUAAACUGCUUUUGUACAGGAAGAAACCUCCCUACGAGUAGGGACUUGACGGUACUGUAAGAAUAAGGAUCGGCUAACUCCGUGCCAGCAGCCGCGGUAAUACGGAGGAUCCGAGCGUUAUCCGGAAUUAUUGGGUUUAAAGGGUUCGUAGGCGGCUUUGUAAGUCAGUGGUGAAAUUUCCUAGCUUAACUAGGACACUGCCAUUGAUACUGCAGAGCUUGAAUAAUAUGGAAGUAACUAGAAUAUGUAGUGUAGCGGUGAAAUGCUUAGAUAUUACAUGGAAUACCAAUUGCGAAGGCAGGUUACUACGUAUUUAUUGACGCUGAUGAACGAAAGCGUGGGGAGCGAACAGGAUUAGAUACCCUGGUAGUCCACGCCGUAAA